GACGAACGCUGGCGGCGUGCUUAACACAUGCAAGUCGAACGAAGUGGCGAACGGGUGAGUAACGCGUAAUCAACCUGCCCUUCAGAGGGGGACAACAGUUGGAAACGACUGCUAAUACCGCAUACUGAAGGAGGGGAUUGCGUCUGCUUAGCUAGUUGGGGGGGUAACGGCCCACCAAGGCGAUGAUCAGGAGCCGGGCUGGGAGGGUGAACGGCCACAUGGGGACUGGGGAACGGCCCAGACUCCUACGGGGAGCAACAGUGGGGAAUCUUCCGCAAUGGGCGGAAGUCUGGCGGAGCAACGCCGCGUGAGGGGUGGAAGCCUUCGGGUUGUAAAACUCUGUUAAUCGGGACGCGGUACCGGAAUAGAAAGCCACGGCUAACUACGUGCCAGCAGCCGCGGUAAUUC
rnacentral:rRNA from 1 species